rnacentral:rRNA from 1 species
UGGGGAAUAUUGGACAAUGGGCGCAAGCCUGAUCCAGCCAUACCGCGUGGGUGAAGAAGGCCUUCGGGUUGUAAAGCCCUUUUGUUGGGAAAGAAAUCCAGCUGGCUAAUACCCGGUUGGGAUGACGGUACCCAAAGAAUAAGCACCGGCUAACUUCGUGCCAGCAGCCGCGGUAAUACGAAGGGUGCAAGCGUUACUCGGAAUUACUGGGCGUAAAGCGUGCGUAGGUGGUUUGUUAAGUCUGAUGUGAAAGCCCUGGGCUCAACCUGGGAAUUGCACUGGAUACUGGCAGGCUAGAGUGCGGUAGAGGAUGGCGGAAUUCCCGGUGUAGCAGUGAAAUGCGUAGAGAUCGGGAGGAACAUCCGUGGCGAAGGCGGCCAUCUGGACCAGCACUGACACUGAGGCACGAAAGCGUGGGGAGCAAACA